rnacentral:rRNA from 1 species
GACGAACGCUGGCGGCGUGCUUAACACAUGCAAGUCGAACGGAAAGGCCCUGCCUUUGUGGGGUGCUCGAGUGGCGAACGGGUGAGUAACACGGGAGUAACCUGCCCUUGAAUUUGGGAUAACUUCAGGAAACUGGGGCGAAUACCGGAGAGGAGCCCCUGUUGCAUGGUGGGGGUCGGAACGUUUCGGCGGUUGGGGAUGGACUCGCGGCUUAUCAGCUUGUUGGUGGGGUAGUGGCUUACCAGGGCUUUGACGGGUAGCCGGCCUGGGAGGGUGACCGGCCACAUUGGGACUGAGAUACGGCCCAGACUCCUACGGGAGGCAGCAGUGGGGAAUAUUGCACAAUGGGCGGAAGCCUGAUGCAGCAACGCCGCGUGCGGGAUGACGGCCUUCGGGUUGUAAACCGCUUUCGCCUGUGACGAAGCGUGAGUGACGGUAAUGGGUAAAGAAGCACCGGCUAACUACGUG